rnacentral:rRNA from 1 species
UUCCUACGGGAGGCAGCAGUGAGGAAUAUUGGUCAAUGGGCGCGAGCCUGAACCAGCCAAGUCGCGUGAGGGAUGACGGUCCUACGGAUUGUAAACCUCUUUUGCCGGGGAGCAAGCGUGCGUUCGUGAACGCGCGUCGAGAGUACCCGGAGAAAAAGCAUCGGCUAACUCCGUGCCAGCAGCCGCGGUAAUACGGAGGAUCCGAGCGUUAUCCGGAUUUAUUGGGUUUAAAGGGAGCGUAGGUGGAUUGUUAAGUCAGUUGUGAAAGUUUGCGGCUCAACCGUAAAAUUGCAGUUGAAACUGGC